UCCAAGUUUUCUAGGAUGAUGCAAUGUCCAGCCAUCAACACAUUUGUGAAGGAAUUUUUACUCCCCAAAAGAGCGCCCCCCAUGGCAGGAGAAAAAAGUCCAUUUUUUCUUGUCCCAUAAGGUGAAAAUACACAUUGUUGAGUGUCACGCCUGUACGCUUUGUCAUAUUGAAACAAAAUUUGACAAUCACGUGUAUCUCAAUAAGAUCUACGAAAAAGUCAAUGCGCACGUAUCUGUAAAAUGUACGGUUUAAGGGCUAUUACGCAUUUUUGAUCGAUUCGCACACAUUGGAAUGUGGCUAACUCCUCCUAAAGCUUUCGUUCCACCGGCACCACAUUUGCUCAGGCCAAUCUACACCCCAUGGCCAUUAAAAGUUGUACAAAUCAUGACGCUGCACCCCACGGUUUACGUUCUAGGGGGCGCCAAAGGUAACCCAAAAAUCCACAUUCUUAAAAGUCUUAUAACUUUUCAUUUUUGUCCUCACUGGCUUCCAAGUUUUCUAGGAUGAUGCAAUGUCCAGCCAUCAACACAUUUGUGAAGGAAUUUUUACUCCCCAAAAGAGCACCCCCCCCCCAUGGCAGGAGAAAAAGUCAAGUUUUUCCUGCCCAUCGCUCAAUGGCUCAAACACAUGUCAUGUGUUCAAACUCCUCCGAAAGGAGGAGCAACUUGCCAUUUGGAUAUAUCCUAGCUGUGUUUGUGCCCUCACUCAUGGAUCAGACUUUUUUCAAAUAGGACAUGUAGUUUGUCUGCAGCGAGUGUUUUGGUAGAAACUGCGCCUCCCAUUCAUUAUAAUGGGAAAUGACCACAGACAAGUGCGCACACCAUCUUUGGACCUUGAGAGUGACGCGAUCGGGAGGGGGAGGCGGUCGCGCUGGGGGCGGCGCAACGCGGCUCGGGCCCGACAGUGCCCCACCGGGGCCCUAGUUCUUCUUAUUUUUCCUCCCCUUUGAAGGGGAAAAUGGCCCACUUCCCACUGGCGAAAACUCAUGAAAUUUGGCAGGACGACCGGGCCUGGUGAAAAAUUCGAUAUUCUGAAGUCGCCCAAACAAUAAAAUGCAAAAUGGCUCCAUAGCGCCCCCUAAGGUGAAAAUUUACACUAUUGACUGUCACGCCUGUACGCUUUGUCAUAUUGACACAAAAUUUGACACACACAUGUAUCUCAAUAAGAUCUACAAAAAAAUCAGUGCGGGCGUAUCUAUCAAAUGUACGGUUAAAGGGUUAUUUCACAUUUUUUGCCGAUCCGCACACAUUGGAAUUUCGCUAACUCCUCCGAAGGCUUUCGUUCCACCGGCACCACAUUUGCUCAGGCCAAUCUACACCCCAUGGCCAUUAAAAGUUGUACAAAUCAUGACGCUGCACCCCACGGUUUACGUUCUAGGGGGCGCCAAAGAUAACCCAAAAAUCCACAGUCUUAAAAGUCUUAUAACUUUUUAUUUUUGUCCUCACUGGCCUCCAAGUUCUCUAGGAUGAUGCAAUGUCCAGCAAUUAACACAUUUGUGAAGGAAUUUUUACUCGCCAAAAGAGCGCCCCCCCAUGGCAGGAGAAAAAAGUCCAUUUUUUCUUGUCCCAUAAGGCGAAAAUACACAUUGUUGAGUGUCACGCCUGUACGCUUUGUCAUAUUGACACAAAAUUUGACAAUCACGUGUAUCUCAAUAAGAUCUACGAAAAAGUCAAUGCGCGCGUAUCUGUCAAAUGUACGGUUAAAGGUCGAUUUCGCAUUUUUUGCCAAUUCGCACACAUUGGAAUUUCGCUAACUCCUCCGAAAGCUUUCGUCCCAUCAGCACCACAUUUGCUCAGGCCAAUCUACACCCCAUGGCCAUUCAAAGUUGUAAAAAUCAUGAUGCUGCACCCCACGGUUUACGUUCUAGUGGGCGCCAAAGAUAACCCAAAAAUCCACAUUUUCAAAAGUCUUAUAACUUUUUAUUUUUGUCCUCACUGGCCUCCAAGUUUUCUAGGAUAAUGCAAUGUUCAGCCAUCAACACAAUUGUGAAGGAAUUUUUACUCCCCAAAAGAGCGCCCCCCCCAUGGCCGGAGAAAAAGUCAAGUUGUUCCUGCCCAUCGCUCAAUGGCUUAAACGCAUCGCUCUCUCGGCAAAACCGAAAGGAGGAGCAACUUGCCAUUUGGAUAUAUCUUAGCUGUGUUUGUGCCUUCACUCAUUUUCCAGACUUUUUUCAAAUAGGACAUGGAGUUUGUCUGCAGCGAGCGUUUUGGUAGAAACUGCGCCUCCCAUUCAUUAUAAUAGUAAAUAACCACAGACAAGUGCGCACACCAUCUUUGGACCUUGAGUGUGACGCGAUCGGGAGGGGUAGGCGGUCGCGCUGGGGGCGGCGCGACACGGCUCGGGCCCGCCAGUGCCCCAACGGGGCCCUAGUUUCUUCUUUUUCCUCCCCUUUGAACUGGAAAAUGGCCCACUUCCCACUGGCGAAAACUCAUGAAAUUUGGCAGGACGACCGGGCCUGGUGAAAAAUUUGAUAUUCCGAAGUCGCCCAAACAAGAAAAUGCAAAAUGGCUCCAUAGCGCCCCCUAAGGUGAAAAUUCACACUAUUGACUGUCACGCCUGUACGCUUUGUCAAAAUGACACAAAAAUUGACACACACAUGUAUCUCAAUAAGAUCCACGAAAAAGUCAAUGCGCGCGUAUCUGUCAAAUGUACAGUUAAAGGGUUAUUCCGCAUUUUUUGCCAAUCCGCACACAUUGGAAUGUUGCUAACUCCUCCUAAGGCUUUCGUUCCACUGGCAUCACAUUUGCUCAGGCCAAUCUACACCCCAUGGCCAUUAAAAGUUAUUCAAAUCAUGACGCUGCACCCCACGGUUUAGGUUCUAGGGGGCGCCAAAGAUAACCCUAAAAUCCACAUAUUUAAAAGUCUUAUAACUUUUUAUUUUUUCCCUCACUGGCCUCCAAGUUUUCUAGGAUGAUGCAAUGUCCAGCCAUCAAUACAUUUGUGAAGGAAUUUUUACUCCCCAAAAGAGCGCCCCCCCCCCCCAUGGCAGGAGAAAAAAGUCCAUUUUUUCUUGUCCCCUAAGGUGAAAAUACACAUUGUUGAGUGUCACGCCUGUACGCUUUGUCAUAUUGACACAAAAUAUGACAAUCACGUGUAUCUCAAUAAAAUCUACGAAAAAGUCAAUGCGCACGUAUCUGUAAAAUGUACGGUUAAAGGACUAUUUCGCAUUUUUUGCCGAUUCGCACACAUUGGAAUGUGGCUAACUCCUCCUAAGGCUUUCAUCCCACUGACAUCACAUUUGCUCAGGCCAAUCUACACCCUAUGGCCAUUAAAAGUUAUUCAAAUCAUGACGCUGCACCCCACGGUUUAGGUUCUAGGGGGCGCCAAAGAUAACCCUAAAAUCCACAUAUUUAAAAGUCUUAUAACUUUUUAUUUUUUCCCUCACUGGCCUCCAAGUUUUCUAGGAUGAUGCAAUGUCCAGCCAUCAAUACAUUUGUGAAGGAAUUUUUACUCCCCAAAAGAGCGCCCCCCCAUGGCAGGAGAAAAAAGUCCAUUUUUUCUUGUCCCCUAAGGUGAAAAUACACAUUGGUGAGUGUCACGCCUGUACGCUUUGUCAUAUUGACACAAAAUUUGACAAUCACGUGUAUAUUAAAAAGAUCUACGAAAGAGUCAACGCACGCGUAUCUGUCAAAUGUACGGUUAAAGGGCUAUUUUGCAUUUUUUGCCGAUCCGCACACAUUGGAAUUUCGCUAACUCCUCCUAAAGCCUUCGUCCCAUCGGCACCAAAUUUGCUCAGGCCAAUCCACACCCUAUGGCCAUUCAAAGAUGUAAAAAUCAUGACGCUGCACCCCACGGUUUACGUUCUAGGGGGCGCCAAAGAUAACCCAAAAAUCCACAUUUUCAAAAGUCUUAUAACUUUUUAUUUUUGUCCUCACUGGCCUCCAAGUUUUCUAGGAUGAUGCAAUGUCCAGCCAUCAACACAAUUGUGAAGGAAUUUUUACUCCCCAAAAGAGCGCCCCCCCAUGGCCGGAGAAAAAGUCAAGUUUUUCCUGCCCAUCGCUCAAUGGCUUAAACGCAUCGCUCUCUCGGCAAAACCGAAAGGAGGAGCAACUUGCCAUUUGGAGAUAUCCUAGCUGUGUUUGUGCCCUCACUCAUGGUCCAGACUUUUUUCAAAUAAGACAUGGAGUUUUUCUGCAGCGAGCGUUUUGGUAGAAACUGCGCCUCCCAUUCAUUAUAAUGGUAAAUGACCACAGACAAGUGCGCACACCAUCUCUGGACCUUGAGUGUGCCGCGAUCGGAAGGAGGGGGCCGUCGCGAUGGGGGCGGCACAACAUGGCUCGGCCCGCCAGUGCCCCACCGGGGCCCUAGUUAGGGCCCGAGCGUAGCUGCUAAGCAGCCGCGAGAGCCCUCUUGUUCCUGAAGGAUUCUUCUUUCUUAGGGCCCGAGCGUAGCUGCUAAGCAGCUGCGAGAGCCCUCUUGUUCCUUCAUAGUCGAAAAAUCUUCUUUCUUCUUUUUCCUCCCCUUUGAACUGGAAAAUGGCCCACUUCCCACUGGCGAAUGCUCAUGAAAUUUGGCAGGACGACCGGGCCUGGUGAAAAAUUCGAUAUUCUGAAGUCGCCCAAACAAUAAAAUGCAAAAUGGCUCCAUAGCGCCCCCUAAGGUGAAAAUUCACACUAUUGACUGUCACGCCUGUACGCUUUGUCAUAUUGACACAAAAAUUGACACACACAUGUACCUCAAUAGGAUCUACAAAAAAGUCAGUGCGGGCGUAUCUGUCAAAUGUACGGUUAAAGGGUUAUUUCGCAUUUUUUGCCAAUCCGCACACAUUGGAAUUUCGCUAACUCCUCCGAAGGCUUUCGUUCCACCGGCACCAAAUUUGCUCAGGCCAAUCUACACCCCAUGGCCAUUAAAAGUUGUACAAAUCAUGAAGCUGCACCCCACGGUUUAGGUUCUAGGGGGCGCCAAAGAUAACCCAAAAAUCCACAGUCUUAUAACUUUUUAUUUUUGUCCUCACUGGCCUCCAAGUUCUCUAGGAUGAUGCAAUGUCCAGCCAUCAACACAUUUGUGAAGGAAUUUUUACUCCCCAAAAGAGCGCCCCCCCAUGGCAGGAGAAAAAAGUCCAUUUUUUCUUGUCCCCUAAGGUGAAAAUACACAUUGUUGAGUGUCACGCCUGUACGCUUUGUCAUAUUGACACAAAAUUUGACAAUCACGUGUAUCUCAAUAAGAACUACGAAAAAGUCAAUGCGCCCGUAUCUGUAAAAUGUACGGUUAAAGGGCUAUUUUGCAUUUUUUGCCGAUUCGCACACAUUGCAAUGUGGCUAACUCCUCCUAGAGCUUUCAUCCCACCGGCACUAAAUUUUCUCAGGCCAAUCUACACCCCAUGGCCAUUUAAAGUUGUACAAAUCAUGACGCUGCACCCCACGGUUUACGUUCUAGGGGGCGCCAAAGAUGACCCAAAUAUCCACAUUUCUAAAAGUCUUAACUUUUUAUUUUUGUCCUCACUGGCCUCCAAGUUUUCUAGGAUGAUGCAAUGUCCAGCCAUCAACACAUUUGUGAAGGAAUUUUUACUCCCCAAAAGAGCGCCCCCCAUGGCAGGAGAAAAAGUCAAAGUUUUUCCUGCCCAUCGCUCAAUAGCUCAAGCGCAUCGCUCUCCCGCAAAAACCGAAAGGAGGAGCAACUUGCCAUUUGGAUAUAUACUAGCUGUGUUUGCGCCCUCACUCAUGGUCCAGACUUUUUUCAAAAAGGACACGUAGUUUUUCUGCAGCGAGCGUUUAGGUAGAAACUGUGCCUCCCAUUCAUUAUAAUGGUAAAUGACCACAGACAAGUGCCACACCAUCUUUGGACCUUGAGUAUGACAGGAUCAGGAGGGGGAGGCAGUCGCGCUGGGGGCGGCGCGACACGGCUCGGGCCCGCCAGUGCCUCAACGGGGCCCUAGUUUUUAGGGCCCGAGCGUAGCUGCUAAGCAGCUGCGAGGCCCUGUUGUUCCUGUAGUGGUUUUUCUUUGUUUCUUUUUUCUUUUUCCUCCCCUUUGAACUGGAAAAUGGCCCACUUCCCACUGGCGAAAACUCAUGAAAUUUGGCAGGACGACCGGGCCUGGUGAAAAAUUUGAUAUUCUGAAGUCGCCCAAACAAUAAAAUGCAAAAUGGCUCCAUAGCGCCCCCUAAGAUGAAAAUUCACACUAUUGACUGUCACGGCUGUACGCUUUGUCAUAUUGACACAAAGAUUGACACACACAUGUAUCUCAAUAAGAUCUACAAAAAAGUCAGUGCGGGCGUAUCUGUCAAAUUUACGGUUAAAGGGUUAUUUCGCAUUUUUUGCUGAUCCACACACAUCGGAAUUUCGCUAACUCCUCUGAAGA